rnacentral:lncRNA from 1 species
UGGUAAGUUCCUUCAAAUCAACAAGGAGCUGUCAUGGAGUAAUGUCUCCACAAUGAGAAAGCUUGAAUCUUAUCAGUCAUAGCAUCUAACAUAAAACUAACUUCUCUUAUUGUUUACCUUAAUUCACAAUGGUCAGGAAAUUUGCCUCCCUCUUAUUCCUCAUUCCUUACUGUUUUUUCUACAGGUCAUACUAUUGCUUGCAGGGAUUAAAUGCAAUUUCAAGUCUUGCUGAACUGGCAACUUCCAGCUUACACAACAAAAGCAGAGAUGGUGUUACAGAUGUACAAAGAUUAAGAAAAAGCAAGAAAAGCUGCUCACUAAUUGAAUAAUACUUCCACUGAAGAGCAACUAGAGUUGGAGUGUCGUCUUCAGAUAGAGUCAGAAGAUAUGCCAGAAGUCCCAGUCCUUCCUUGAUGGAUUAAAUUGCCAUAAGCAAGAAGAGAAGACCAAAUGCAGCAAAAAAAAGUCUGUGGCAAUUACUGCCAUGUGCUUCUCUGACUCAAGCUGCAAACAACAGAAGAAAACUUUGCAGCUGGCAAAGGCAUUACAAAGAACAAUUAUGCUGAUGUAGUUAAAUAUUUUCCAGUUAAGAUAGAAAGGAAAAGAAAAAGCCAAUACAUCAAACAACCUAAUGUAGUCAACUCAAGAAUUACCUUAAUCAAGUUUUGAAAUGUUUGUUCUGAAGUAAACUAUCUUCAAACAAAACUAUGAAGGUUUUAGUCUCUCAGAGGCACCUAUUCAUCAUUUCAUGAACACUUAGAAACUACAGCCAUUAAAUUAAGAGAGUGUAUUACAUUAUAUGUGGCAUAAUUUACAGGUCAGUUCAACUAGUAGUAAUGUUAAAGCAAUAAAAAACCUUCAACUUCAGCCUUUACA